UACAGAGGUCCCAAGCGUUGUUCGGAUUUACUGGGCGUAAAGGGUGCGUAGGUGGCGGGGUAAGUCUGGUGUGAAAGCUCCGAGCUCAACUCGGAAAAGCAUUGGAAGCUAUCCCGCUUGAGGGUCGGAGGGGAGACUGGAAUUCUCGGUGUAGCAGUGAAAUGCGUAGAUAUCGAGAGGAACACCAGUGGCGAAGGCGAGUCUCUGGACGACUCCUGACACUGAGGCACGAAAGCUAGGGGAGCAAACAGG
rnacentral:rRNA from 1 species